UACAGGGGGGGGCAAGCGUUGUUCGGAAUUACUGGGCGUAAAGGGCUCGUAGGCGGCCAACUAAGUCACACGUGAAAUCCCCCAGGCUUAACCUGGGAACUGCGUGUGAUACUGGAUGGCUUGAAUUCGGGAGAGGGAUGCAGAAUUCCAGGUGUAGCGGUGAAAUGCGUAGAUAUCUGGAGGAAUACCGGUGGCGAAGGCAGCAUCCUGGACCGACAUUGACGCUGAGGAGCGAAAGCUAGGGGAGCAAACGGG
rnacentral:rRNA from 1 species